rnacentral:rRNA from 1 species
AUUGAACGCUGGCGGCAGGCCUAACACAUGCAAGUCGAGCGGAUGAAGGGAGCUUGCUCCUGGAUUCAGCGGCGGACGGGUGAGUAAUGCCUAGGAAUCUGCCUGGUAGUGGGGGAUAACGUCCGGAAGCGGGCGCUAAUACCGCAUACGUCCUGAGGGAGAAAGUGGGGGAUCUUCGGACCUCACGCUAUCAGAUGAGCCUAGGUCGGAUUAGCUAGUUGGUGGGGUAAAGGCCUACCAAGGCGACGAUCCGUAACUGGUCUGAGAGGAUGAUCAGUCACACUGGAACUGAGACACGGUCCAGACUCCUACGGGAGGCAGCAGUGGGGAAUAUUGGACAAUGGGCGAAAGCCUGAUCCAGCCAUGCCGCGUGUGUGAAGAAGGUCUUCGGAUUGUAAAGCACUUUAAGUUGGGAGGAAGGACAGUAAGUUAAUACCUUGCUGUUUUGACGUUACCAACAGAAUAAGCACCGGCUAACUUCGUG